rnacentral:rRNA from 1 species
GAUGAACGCUGGCGGCGUGCCUAAUACAUGCGAGUCGAGCGAACAGACGAGGAGCUUGCUCCUCUGACGUUAGCGGCGGACGGGUGAGUAACACGUGGAUAACCUACCUAUAAGACUGGGAUAACUUCGGGAAACCGGAGCUAAUACCGGAUAAUAUAUUGAACCGCAUGGUUCAAUAGUGAAAGACGGUUUUGCUGUCACUUAUAGAUGGAUCCGCGCCGCAUUAGCUAGUUGGUAAGGUAACGGCUUACCAAGGCAACGAUGCGUAGCCGACCUGAGAGGGUGAUCGGCCACACUGGAACUGAGACACGGUCCAGACUCCUACGGGAGGCAGCAGUAGGGAAUCUUCCGCAAUGGGCGAAAGCUUGACGGAGCAACGCCGCGUGAGUGAUGAAGGUCUUCGGAUCGUAAAACUCUGUUUUUAGGGAAGAACAAAUGUGUAAGUAACUAUGCACGUCUUGACGGUACCUAAUCAGAAAGCCACGGCUAACUACGUG